UACGUAGGGACCAAGCGUUGUUCGGAUUUACUGGGCGUAAAGGGCGCGUAGGCGGCGUGGUAAGUCACUUGUGAAAUCUCUGAGCUUAACUCAGAACGGCCAAGUGAUACUGCUGUGCUAGAGUGCAGAAGGGGCAAUCGGAAUUCUUGGUGUAGCGGUGAAAUGCGUAGAUAUCAAGAGGAACACCUGAGGUGAAGACGGGGUUGCUGGGCUGACACUGACGCUGAGGCGCGAAAGCCCAGGGGAGCAAACGGG
rnacentral:rRNA from 1 species